AGAGUUUGAUCCUGGCUCAGAACGAACGCUGGCGGCAGGCCUAACACAUGCAAGUCGAGCGAGAUCUUCGGGUCUAGCGGCGGACGGGUUAGUAACGCGUGGGAACGUGCCCUUCUCUAUGGAAUAGCCUCGGGAAACUGAGAGUAAUACCAUAUACGCCCUUCGGGGGAAAGAUUUAUCGGAGAAGGAUCGGCCCGCGUUGGAUUAGGUAGUUGGUGGGGUAACGGCCUACCAAGCCGACGAUCCAUAGCUGGUUUGAGAGGAUGAUCAGCAACACUGGGACUGAGACACGGCCCAGACUCCUACGGGAGGCAGCAGUGGGGAAUCUUAGACAAUGGGGGAAACCCUGAUCUAGCCAUGCCGCGUGAGCGAUGAAGGCCUUAGGGUUGUAAAGCUCUUUCAGCUGGGAAGAUAAUGACGGUACCAGCAGAAGAAGCCCCGGCUAACUCCGUGCCAGCAGCCGCGGUAAUACGGAGGGGGCUAGCGUUGUUCGGAAUUACUGGGCGUAAAGCGCGCGUAGGCGGACCAGAAAGUUGGGGGUGAAAUCCCGGGGCUCAACCCCGGAACUGCCUUCAAAACUCCUGGUCUGGAGUUCGAGAGAGGUGAGUGGAAUUCCGAGUGUAGAGGUGAAAUUCGUAGAUAUUCGGAGGAACACCAGUGGCGAAGGCGGCUCACUGGCUCGAUACUGACGCUGAGGUGCGAAAGCGUG
rnacentral:rRNA from 1 species